rnacentral:rRNA from 1 species
GUGGGGAAUAUUGGGCAAUGGGCGAAAGCCUGACCCAGCAACGCCGCGUGAAGGAAGAAGGUUUUCGGAUCGUAAACUUCUAUCCUUGGUGAAGAUAAUGACGGUAGCCAAGAAGGAAGCCCCGGCUAACUACGUGCCAGCAGCCGCGGUAAUACGUAGGGGGCAAGCGUUGUCCGGAAUGAUUGGGCGUAAAGGGCGCGUAGGCGGCCCGGUAAGUCUGAAGUGAAAGUCCUGCUUUUAAGGUGGGAAUUGCUUUGGAUACUGUCGGGCGUGAGUGCAGGAGAGGUAAGCGGAAUUCCCGGUGUAGCGGUGAAAUGCGUAGAGAUCGGGAGGAACACCAGUGGCGAAGGCGGCUUACUGGACUGUAACUGACGCUGAGGCGCGAAAGUGUGGGGAGCAAACAGGAUUAGAAACCCCUGUAGUCC